rnacentral:rRNA from 1 species
GACGAACGCUGGCGGCGCGCCUAACACAUGCAAGUCGAACGAAGCCUUUUAGAGUGCUUGCACUCUGGCUGGCUUAGUGGCAGACGGGUGAGUAACACGUGAGCAACCUGCCUUAAAGAGGGGGAUAACGUCUGGAAACGGACGCUAAUACCGCAUAACAUCACUGGUUGGCAUCAGCCGGUGAUCAAAGGAGCAAUCCGCUUUAAGAUGGGCUCGCGUCCGAUUAGAUAGUUGGUGAGGUAAUGGCUCACCAAGUCGACGAUCGGUAGCCGGACUGAGAGGUUGAUCGGCCACAUUGGGACUGAGACACGGCCCAGACUCCUACGGGAGGCAGCAGUGGGGGAUAUUGCACAAUGGGGGAAACCCUGAUGCAGCGACGCCGCGUGGGUGAAGACGGCCUUCGGGUUGUAAAGCCCUGUUGAGGGGGACGAUAAUGACGGUACCCCUUUAGAAAGCCACGGCUAACUACGUGCCAGCAGCCGCGGUAAUACGUAGGUGGCGAGCGUUGUCCGGAAUUACUGGGUGUAAAGGGAGCGUAGGCGGGGAGAUAAGUUGGAUGUGAAAUACUGCGGCUCAACCGCAGGGGUGCAUCCAAAACUAUUUCUCUUGAGUGAAGUAGAGGUAGGCGGAAUUCCUAGUGUAGCGGUGAAAUGCGUAGAUAUUAGGAGGAACACCAGUGGCGAAGGCGGCCUACUGGGCUUUAACUGACGCUGAGGCUCGAAAGCGUGGGGAGCAAACAGGAUUAGAUACCCUGGUAGUCCACGCUGUAAACGAUGAUUACUAGGUGUGGGGGGUCUGACCCCUUCCGUGCCGGAGUUAACACAAUAAGUAAUCCACCUGGGGAGUACGACCGCAAGGUUGAAACUCAA